CGCCUGUUUAUCAAAAACAUGUCCUUUUGUUUAUAAAUAUAAGGUCUAGCCUGCCCAAUGAUUUAUAUUUAAUGGCCGCGGUAUAUUAACUGUGCUAAGGUAGCAUAAUCACUUGUCUUUUAAUUGAAGGCUAGAAUGAAUGGCUGGACGAAAUAUAUUCUUUCUUUAACUUAUUUGUUGAAUUUAAUUUUUUAGUUAAAAAGCUAAAAUUUAUUUGAGGGACGAGAAGACCCUGUAGAUCUUUAUAUACUUGUGUAUUAUGUAUUAUAGUUUAUGAAUUACUUAUAAUGUAUAAGAUAUAUUUGGUUGGGGCGACUGUAGAAUUAUAAUAACUUCUAUUUGUAAUUUUCAUAAAUUAGUGUUUUAUUGAUCCAUUUAUUAUGAUUAUAAGAUUAAGUUACCUCAGGGAUAACAGCGUAAUUUUUUCGGAGAGUUCUUAUCGAUGAAAGAGUUUGCGACCUCGAUGUUGGAUUAAAAUAAGUUGUAGGUGCAGAAGUUUACAAACUAGGUCUGUUCGACCUUUAAUUUUUUACAUGAUCUGAGUUCAAACCGGAG
rnacentral:rRNA from 1 species